rnacentral:rRNA from 11 species
GUCCCAUAAGGUAAAGUUCUCUGGCACUAGAUCCUAUCUGAUCUUGGAAGCUAAGCAUCAUUAUUCCUGGUUAAUACUUAGAUGGGAGAUCACAAGGGAAUGCAAGAUGCCAGAGACU